rnacentral:rRNA from 1 species
GACGAACGCUGGCGGCGUGCUUAACACAUGCAAGUCGAACGGAAAGGCCCUGCUUGCAGGGUACUCGAGUGGCGAACGGGUGAGUAACACGUGGGUGAUCUGCCCUGCACUUCGGGAUAAGCCUGGGAAACUGGGUCUAAUACCGGAUAGGAGCCAUUUUUAGUGUGAUGGUUGGAAAGUUUUUUCGGUGUAGGAUGAGCUCGCGGCCUAUCAGCUUGUUGGUGGGGUAAUGGCCUACCAAGGCGGCGACGGGUAGCCGGCCUGAGAGGGUGGACGGCCACAUUGGGACUGAGGUACGGCCCAGAAUCCUACGGGAGGCAGCAGUGGGGAAUAUUGCACAAUGGGCGCAAGCCUGAUGCAGCGACGCCGCGUGGGGGAUGACGGCCUUCGGGUUGUAAACUCCUUUCGCUAGGGACGAAGCUUUUUGUGACGGUACCUAGAGAAGAAGCACCGGCUAACUACGUG